UCCAGCCACACACUGGCCUGGGGAAGAAAGUGUUUGAGCUGGAGAAGAAAGUGUUUGAGCUGGCUGCUGCCCGAGAAUGAAGAGCAUUAACUCUGGCUUCCCUCCAACCUCCAGCACUUGGAUUUCAGCCAUCAUUCAUCCUCCAUCCCAGGGGAAAUUCCGUGCAGCGCAAUUUGGGGCAGGCUGCUGCGGGAAAUGGGGAGCAGAGCAUCCCAGGAGCAUCGGCGUGGACGAGGCUCCUCCCUCCACCGGGACCCUGCGCUGUGUCCGGUGCCUCUUGCUUUGGGACUGGCUGCUUUGCCGGGUGUCCUGCGGACAGGAGGGACACAGAAGCCAGCGGUGGGUGAGCAUGUGACACCCGGAUACCUGUGAUACCUGUGAGCAUAUGGCUUUGCAAUGAAAGUGUUGCAGACUUGGAGGCUGGGCUGAUGAGGAGAAAGCUCCGGAGACUUCUACACUGCAAACUCCUGGGCAGAAGGCUGUGGAUGAAAUAUUGCCACACCUGGGACUUUUUCAGACAUCAUCCCGUGGCACAGCACCCGCGGCACUCGGCUCAGGUGCCCUGUGCUGGAGGAACGCGGCUUUGGCAGCGCUGCCGGGAGCGGACCCAUCCUCCGCGUCAGCCCAGUGCCACCUACAGCAGCCAGAGCAGAAGCUGCAGCAUCGGCAAACCCAUGGAAACAAUUCCAGCACUUCCAGUCAGGGGCGUGUUCACAUCACUGAGUGGCCUUGGAGGAGCCAGAGCAGAAGCUGCAGCACUGGUAAACCGAUGGAAGCAAUUCCAGCACGCUCCAGCCAAAGGCGUGGUCACAUUGAUAGUAAAAGGUUUUAGAAUCAUAGAAAAUUCGGGGAGCUGGAAAGAAAGUUAGGCUUAGUAGGCCCUGGGAAAAUGUUAAAGGUAGGCCCUGGGAAAUGUUAGGCUUGUAUUUGCUAGAUCAUGUGAAACUGCACCUGUGUAGUCAGUAUAUGAUAAAUUAUAUAAUUGUUAGAUGUGAUUAGAUAUAAUUAUUGCUUAAAGAAUCAUGAGAAACUCAUAACACACUUUAACACACUACUUAAGGAAAUUAAUACAGCACAACUUUCUAACAUAACACAUAUAAUAUUCAUUUUAAUAUUUGCAAAAAGACAAUCAUAAACUAGGCAUUUUUCACACAAGCUAAUCAUGUGAAACUGCGCCUGUGUGGUCAGUAUAUGAUAAAUGAUAUAAAUGUUAGAUAUAAUUAUUGUUUAAAGAAUCAUGAGAAGCUAUGUCAGGGAUUUGAGGGGGAUCACGAGAAAUCCAUCCUUGGAUGAAAUCAGUGCAUACAAUAGAACAAUGUAAUUUUAAUAAUUAAUAUGUAAGCUAUAUAAUCAUAGAAUAUAAAACAUGUUCAGCUCGAAACAAUGUCAGGUCAGAUUUGGGUCUGUGCACCCGACACUCAGAGCUCUUCAAUAAAAGCACCUGCACAUAAUAAUCCUGUGAUUGUGUGUACCUGAACACUAACAACAUCACUGAGAGGCCUUUGAGGAACUUGUUCCUUAUCACUGUGCAGGUGAGGACAAUGCAAUGGAGCCUUCUGGUUGAAGGCUGGCAGCUUUGCUGUGUCUGCUGCUGGUGAUACUUCUAAACCUCCAGCAGCUCCUUCCCUCUAUGACCUGUCCUGUUCCCUGCUGUUCUGUUUAACAGGUGUACUCAUCUAUAUUUCCAGGGAAGAGAUGGAUCUGUAUGCAGUGAGGAAAAGCCCUCUCUCAGGCUUGUGCCUCUGUUUUCACUCAUAACUUUUUUCAGCCAGUAACUCUGCAAUGCCAGUGGAACACGAGGCAGUGCUUAGGGGUGUUUGAAAUAAACACAUUUAAAAUGACACUCCAGAAGUGUGACUUCUAUAAGUCACACCACUUGCUUUCUGGGGAAGCAAUUCUGUAGGAGAAUGAACCUAUUCUCUGGGAAGAUAUUCACAGUUUUGGUGCAUUUACAACCAGAAACAUCUUUGAAAUCUAAAGCUACAUAAAUACUCAGGAAAAGACAGACACAAACUGCAAACUGCAUUAUCCUCCUGCCCUGAACUAGAAAGAUUGUUUCUCUUCUGUUGAAGGAUCAGUCCAAGUCCUGUUGUUACCCAGCUGUUUUCAAAAGGAUACUCUUUGAGCACCCCUCUGGCUCUCCAGACACAAUAAUGCUCUAGGAUAAUCCUUCGUGUGGGAAGAUCCUAGAGCAAGUGCUUGUUCCUUUUUUAACUCAGCAGGAGCUAAACAAUUCCCAAAUAAACUUGCCAAAGUGUGGAGCUGGUUCAAGGUACAGCUGUUGCCCUCUGAGUUGGAUGUAGGGCAUUUCUUCUAAUUCUGGCACUACUGAAGAUGCAGUUGGUCAAUAGUGUUUUCUGCUACUGGUGGUUUAAAAUAUCCCAACCAGUGUUUUUAUGUAAUCCUGCUUCUGGCUGGCACAAAUUUGUUAGAGCCACAUCAGGGAACUGAUUUGGUUUAAUCAGGAAGCCACAACACUAAAGGCAAGUGUGUGACACACAGGGUAGGCUUGGAAGUGGCUGCAUGAGUAAAACUGAAGCAAGAGAGAACUGCAGCAAGGGGAAAUAACUUGGGUAGAGGUGCUGCCAAAACACACCACUAACAUGGUCAAUAAUUCACUUUUGUCCCACACUCCCCUGCCCAUACUAGAGAGGAGCUUGAGUGUGCUCAAAGAGCUGAAGGCUCUUUUGUCCCACACAUUGUCACUGCCUUUUAGAGAGCUGGUGACAUCAAAAUUUGCCACCUGGGCAGGGACUGCCAGAUCUAACACCCCCACCCACUGGAUUUAACCAGCAAAACUUCACCAUGCUAAGGUGACCUCCCAAGCACCCUGCAUCCCAGUUUCCUAAUGAAACAGUCAGUAAACACACCCAUUUCCUUUCCAACAGAGUCCACUUGUCCUGUCACAUGAGAUGUGAUUUGCAGAGCCUCAGUGUUUCUCUUCUCCUUCCAAUACCCUGUG